rnacentral:rRNA from 1 species
UGGGGAAUAUUGCACAAUGGGCGCAAGCCUGAUGCAGCCAUGCCGCGUGUAUGAAGAAGGCCUUCGGGUUGUAAAGUACUUUCAGUCGGGAGGAAGGUGGUAAGGUUAAUAACCUUAUCAAUUGACGUUACCGACAGAAGAAGCACCGGCUAACUCCGUGCCAGCAGCCGCGGUAAUACGGAGGGUGCAAGCGUUAAUCGGAAUUACUGGGCGUAAAGCGCACGCAGGCGGUUUGUUAAGUCAGAUGUGAAAUCCCCGGGCUCAACCUGGGAGGGUCAUUGGAAACUGGGAGACUUGAGUGCAGAAGAGGAGAGUGGAAUUCCAUGUGUAGCGGUGAAAUGCGUAGAUAUAUGGAGGAACACCAGUGGCGAAGGCGGCUCUCUGGUCUGUAACUGACGCUGAGGCUCGAAAGCGUGGGGAGCAAACAGG